rnacentral:rRNA from 1 species
CUACGGGAGGCUCCAGUGAGGAAUUUUGCGCAAUGGGGGAAACCCUGACGCAGCAACGCCGCGUGAGUGAAGAAGGCCUUCGGGUCGUAAAGCUCUGUCAAGUGGGAAAAAAUGCCUCCGGUGAAUAGCCGGAGGAGUUGAUGGUACCACUGGAGGAAGCACCGGCUAACUCCGUGCCAGCAGCCGCGGUAAUACGGAGGGUGCUAGCGUUGUUCGGAAUUACUGGGCGUAAAGAGGGUGCAGGCGGUUUGGAAAGUCAGAUGUGAAAGCCCGGGGCUUAACCCCGGAAGUGCAUUUGAAACUCCCAAACUGGAGUAUGGGAGAGGAGAGUGGAAUUCCCAGUGUAGAGGUGAAAUUCGUAGAUAUUGGGAGGAACACCCGUGGCGAAGGCGACUCUCUGGACCAAUACUGACGCUGAGACCCGAAAGCGUGGGGAGCAAACAGGAUUAGAUACCCUAGUAGUC